AGCAGAUUUUAGCAAGGUUAGCUGGUAUUCAAAGAAUUGGAGAGAAUCGAAUGACGAAUAGUUUAAAAUGUAUUGAGAUGGAAUUGAAGAGGGAGUUAGAGAUAACUUUGCAUCAAGAAGAAUUGCUCUGGUAUCAAAAGAGCAAGUCAGAGUGGAUUAAAUGGGGAGAUAAAAAUAUGGCUCAUUUUCAUUUGAAAGCCAUUAGGAAAAGGAAGAGAAAUAAAGUGGAGAUGUUAAAAGAUAAGAAUGGUGGUUGGAUUGAUGACCCUGUAGAGUUGAAAUGAAUGGCUGUUGAGUUUUAUAAAGUUCUUUAUACUAAAGAAGUUUUUUAUUCUCCUUCUU
rnacentral:misc_RNA from 1 species